GGGGGCGAUUGGUUUCGACGAGGGCGAGAAACCCUGGGUGCGUGUCGCGGGUCCCGGUCACCGCGUUAAAAGGCUGGAGGCAUACAAUUGCCAACGAUGAUUUUGAUCUCGCUGUCGCAGCCUAAAGAACUGUAACAGCCGUCUCGCCCAUGGCUGUCCGCUCCAUGGGGUCGAGGCGCAAAUGCCGCGGAAUGCCUCUCCCGUCGCGUCCGACAGACGGUUGAGAAAGACUUGUCGGGAUGGUUGGCAAAGAGCCCGUGCGUGGGCGCGACGCCGAUGACGACAAAACGCGCAACACACACGUAGACCCCUGCGGCGGAACGUUUUCGGACCCGGGUUCGACUCCCGGCGCCUCCACUU
rnacentral:tmRNA from 1 species